UGGGGAAUUUUGGACAAUGGGCGAAAGCCUGAUCCAGCAAUGCCGCGUGUGUGAAGAAGGCCUUCGGGUUGUAAAGCACUUUUGUCCGGAAAGAAAUCCUUGGCUCUAAUACAGUCGGGGGAUGACGGUACCGGAAGAAUAAGCACCGGCUAACUACGUGCCAGCAGCCGCGGUAAUACGUAGGGUGCAAGCGUUAAUCGGAAUUACUGGGCGUAAAGCGUGCGCAGGCGGUUUGCUAAGACCGAUGUGAAAUCCCCGGGCUCAACCUGGGAACUGCAUUGGUGACUGGCAGGCUAGAGUAUGGCAGAGGGGGGUAGAAUUCCACGUGUAGCAGUGAAAUGCGUAGAGAUGUGGAGGAAUACCGAUGGCGAAGGCAGCCCCCUGGGCCAAUACUGACGCUCAUGCACGAAAAGCGUGGGGAGCAAAACAGGAUUAGAUACCCCUGGUAGUCCACGCCCUAAACGAUGUCAACUAGUUGUUGGGGAUUCAUUUCCUUAGUAACGUAGCUAACGCGUGAAGUUGACCGCCUGGGGAGUACGGUCGCAAGAUUAAAACUCAAAUGAAUUGACGGGGUCAUAGCUGUUUCCU
rnacentral:rRNA from 1 species